rnacentral:rRNA from 1 species
AAACUUUCAACAACGGAUCUCUUGGUUCUCGCAUCGAUGAAGAACGCAGCGAAUUGCGAUAAGUAUUGUGAAUUGCAGAUUUUCGUGAAUCAUCGAAUCUUUGAACGCAUAUUGCGCCCACUGGUAUUCCGGUGGGCAUGCCUGUUUGAGCGUCAUUU